UUCGGGUUGUAAAGCUCAGUCACUCGGGAAGAGCGACCUAAGGAGUGGAAAGCCUUAGGGGAGACGGUACCGAGGGAGGAACCCCCGGCAAACUACGUGCCAGCAGCCGCGGUAAUACGUAGGGGGCAAGCGUUGUCCGGAAUCACUGGGCGUAAAGCGUGCGUAGGCGGUUUUUUGGGUCUGGGGUGAAAGUUCAAGGCUCAACCUUGAGAAUGCCUUGGAAACUAGAAGACUUGAGUGCUGGAGAGGCAAGGGGAAUUCCACGUGUAGCGGUGAAAUGCGUAAAGAUGUGGAGGAAUACCAGUGGCGAAGGCGCCUUGCUGGAC
rnacentral:rRNA from 1 species